AAAUACUUCUUUUAAGAAAUUCAAAUGAAAGUUGAAUGUUAAUUAACUGAAAGUCCCUUACCCAUGGAAACGGCUAAGCCAUUAUGGUUUUUCAACUUCACACAAACAUCUUCUGCUAUUGAACCAGAUUAUUCACCCGUUUCGUUAUUCAUUGUUUUUUUUGAUAAUUUUAGAAUAUUUAUUGCAGAAUUUGUUGUUUUUGAAUCAGAAUGCUUGACUAAAUAAUUGUCCACAUUGUACUCCUGUCCACAGUUUUUCUGGUCAAAGCAAUUGAAAAUGCCAAGGAAAAAGACUUCUCCUAAAAAAGAGCCCAAAUCAGGUGAUGAACCACGCGAAAAGAAAAUUAAGGUUAGUCAUGUUUCUGUUGAAGAUGAAGAUUUAACCGAAAGUAAAGAGAGCAGUUCAACACCAAAAAACUGGCCUGCGGCCUAUGAAAAUAUGAAAACCAUGAUGGAAGGUGUUGUUGCUCCCCUGGAAUCUAUGCCUUGGUAUCAGGCAAGAGAUCCGGAACAAACUAAACCAGAGGAACGAUUUCGUAUAUUGGUUGCUUUGAUGCUGUCCAGUCAAACAAAAGACGAUCAAACUCUCAAAGUUUGGAAUAAUCUGUGUAAAGAAGGACUUUCAAUUGAUUGGGUGCUCGAAAAAAGUAAUUCAGAGCUUUCUGAUAUGAUCAAAUCAGUUAAUUUUCGUAGCAAAAAAGCAACAUAUAUUCAGAAAACCGCUACUAUAUUAAAAGAGAAGUAUAAUGGUGAUACACCGGAUAACCUCAAGGAACUGGCCGCACUACCUGGUGUUGGUAAUAAAAUGGCUUUCCUAUUUCUCCAAAGUUGCUAUGGCAAAUGUGACGGACUAGGCGUAGAUGUACAUCUCCAGAGGCUUGCUAAUCGACUAGGAUGGGUUAAAAAGAAUAGCAAAGACGCGGAUAAAAUCCGGAUAGAGCUAGAAUCAUGGGUGCCCAAAGAAAUGAUAUUUGAAUUCAACCGUCUCAUUCCUCGGUUUGGACAAAUGAAAUGUACUGCUAAUAAUCCUAUCUGUGAUGAAUGUCUCAACAAUAAAAUUUGUCCAUCUGCGGGUAAAUGUUGAAACAAGCUAAAAGCCUUACUUUAAUAUACACUCUAUUCAGUGUAUCAUCAUGCUCUUCGAUACUCUUCGUGAUCUCCAAUUUUGUGUAACCAAAGAUUUCACUUCGCUUUUUUCUAUUGAUAAAUAUCUUUAAGCUUUCUGAUCUCUAUACUCCUAUGAUCGUCAUUUUUCAUUUGUAAUUAAGUCAAACUUUUAAUGUUAUUAUGGCUGCUUAUUGUGUGUUAUUUGAUCACUUUUUGUUCAUUAAACAUUAAAUAACCGAUUCUCAACCUUGCAAGACAUGAUUUGACAAAGGCAUUGAAUGUUUUUCAGAUUAAUUAAACCGGAUUUCAAGAUUGUAUCUUAUUUUCCUUUCACUUCGAGAAACCUAAA